CCUACGGGAGACAGCAGUGAGGAAUAUUGGUCAAUGGCCGGAAGGCUGAACCAGCCAUGCCGCGUGAAGGUCAGUGCCCUAUGGGCGUUAAACUUCUUUUGUGCGGGAGCAAUAAUGGUCACGUGUGGCCAGACGAGAGUACCGUACGAAUAAGCAUCGGCUAACUCCGUGCCAGCAGCCGCGGUAAUACGGGGGAUGCAAGCGUUAUCCGGAUUUAUUGGGUUUAAAGGGUGCGUAGGCUGUGAGGUAAGUCAGCGGUGAAAUGCCCGCGCUCAACGGGGUGAAGUGCCAUUGAUACUGCCUUGCUGGAAUGCGGAUGCCGUGGGAGGAAUGUGUGGUGUAGCGGUGAAAUGCAUAGAUAUCACACAGAACACCGAUUGCGAAGGCAGCUCACGAAUCCGCGAUUGACGCUGAUGCACGAAAGCGUGGGUAUCAAACAGGAUUAGAUACCCCUGUAGUC
rnacentral:rRNA from 1 species